CGGGCACGGUGGCUCACGCCCAUAAUUCCAGCACUUUGGGAGGCCGAGGUGGGCGGAUCACCUGAGGUCAGGAGUUCGAGACCAGCCUGGCCAACAGGGUGAAACCCUGUCUCUACUAAAAAUACAAAAAUUAGCCGGGCGUGGUAGCAUCUGCCUGUAAUCCCAGCUACUUGGGAGGCUGAGGCACAAGAAUUGCUUGAAUCUGAGAGGCGGAGGUUGUAGCGAGCCGAGAUCACGCCACUGCACUCCAGCCUGGGCACCAUUGAGCACUGAGUGAACGCGACUCCGUCUGCCAUCCUGGCACCUCGGGAGGCCGAGGCUGGCGGAUCACUCGCGGUUAGGAGCUGGAGACCAGCCCCGCCAACACAGCGAAACCCUGUCUCCACCAAAAAAAUACGAAAACCAGUCAGGCGUGGCGGCGCGCGCCUGCAAUCGCAGGCACUCGGCAGGCUGAGGCAGGAGAAUCAGGCAGGGAGGUUGCAGUGAGCCGAGAUGGCAGCAGUACAGUCCAGCUUCGGCUCAGCAUCAGAGGGAGACUGUGGAAAGAGAGGGAGAGGGAGACGGUGGG
rnacentral:lncRNA from 1 species